ACACCUCAACUCCUCAUGGCUUGCCAUGAUGAGCUUGGACUUUGGGGGUCUUGCUGGCCUGCAGUCAGCUCCUCUCAAAUGAAUCAGCUUGCCAGUGUUUGGUGGCGCCACAGGUGUGAUAAACAAUCUACUCUUGUGGUCCCCUGCCAUGUAACCUUCAGCGAUGGAGGUUUGCUGGAGCUCACAAAUGUCUUUCCUCAGUGAAGACAGAUCUUUGAUU
rnacentral:misc_RNA from 1 species